rnacentral:rRNA from 1 species
AGCGAACGCUGGCGGCAGGCCUAAUACAUGCAAGUCGAACGGCUCUUCGGAGCAGUGGCGGACGGGUGAGUAACGCGUGGGAAUGUGCCCCUUGGUACGGAACAACACAGCGAAACUUGUGCUAAUACCGUAUGUGCCCUUCGGGGGAAAGAUUCAUCGCCUUUAGAGCGGCCCGCGUCUGAUUAGCUAGUUGGUGGGGUAAUGGCCCACCAAGGCUACGAUCAGUAGCUGGUCUGAGAGGAUGACCAGCCACAUUGGGACUGAGACACGGCCCAAACUCCUAUGGGAGGCAGCAGUGGGGAAUCUUGCGCAAUGGGCGAAAGCCUGACGCAGCCAUGCCGCGUGGAUGAUGAAGGUCUUAGGAUUGUAAAAUCCUUUCACCGGUGAAGAUAAUGACUGUAGCCGGAGAAGAAGCCCCGGCUAACUACGUGCCAGCCGCCGCGGUAAAAC